GUGUCAGCCGCCGCGGUAAUACGAAGGGGGCUAGCGUUGCUCGGAAUUACUGGGCGUAAAGGGCGCGUAGGCGGAUAUUUAAGUCGGGGGUGAAAGCCCGGGGCUCAACCUCGGAAUUGCCUUCGAUACUGGAUAUCUUGAGUUCGGGAGAGGUGAGUGGAAUGCCGAGUGUAGAGGUUAAAUUCGUAGAUAUUCGGCGGAACACCAGUGGCGAAGGCGACUCACUGGCCCGAUACUGACGCUGAGGCGCGAAAGCGUGGGGAGCAAACA
rnacentral:rRNA from 1 species